UGGGGAAUAUUGCACAAUGGGCGCAAGCCUGAUGCAGCCAUGCCGCGUGUGUGAAGAAGGCCUCGGUUGUAAAGCACUUUCAGCGAGGAGGAAGGUGGUGAGCUUAAUACGCUCAUCAAUUGACGUUACUCGCAGAAGAAGCACCGGCUAACUCCGUGCCAGCAGCCGCGGUAAUACGGAGGGUGCAAGCGUUAAUCGGAAUUACUGGGCGUAAAGCGCACGCAGGCGGUUUGUUAAGUCAGAUGUGAAAUCCCCGGGCUCAACCUGGGAACUGCAUUUGAAACUGGCAAGCUAGAGUCUCGUAGAGGGGGGUAGAAUUCCAGGUGUAGCGGUGAAAUGCGUAGAGAUCUGGAGGAAUACCGGUGGCGAAGGCGGCCCCCUGGACGAAGACUGACGCUCAGGUGCGAAAAGCGUGGGGAGCAAAACAGGAUUAGAUACCCUGGUAGUCCACGCUGUAAAACGAUGUCGAUUUUGGAGGUUGUGCCCCUUGAGGCGUGGNUUCCGGAGCUAACGCGUUAAAUCGACCGCCUGGGGAGUACGGCCNCAAGGUUAAAACUC
rnacentral:rRNA from 1 species